GGUACUCCUGUCCAGCCACAGCUUUCAGGCAAUGGGGGCAAGCUCGGAGAGAUCCUCGGAGGGGUGAAAUUCCCGUG
rnacentral:ncRNA from 1 species